GCCCUUAUAGUAUAAUGGCUAGAAUUUGUGGCUUCUAACCACACGGUCUGGGUUCGAAUCCCAGUAAGGGUG
rnacentral:tRNA from 1 species